rnacentral:tRNA from 1 species
GCCGGAAUAGCUCAGUUGGUAGAGCAGGGGACUGAAAAUCCUCGUGUCA